GGGGGUGCUUUGGUUUCGACAGGAUUCCAGACGCGCUAGUUGCAUGCCGAGGUAGGCUGGCCUCGUAAAAAGCCUAAAAAACAUAAGUGCAAACGAAGAGUACGCACUCGCUGCUUAAACAAUAGCAGCGCCGAAACUUCUCCCUCGCCCGCUGGGGGAAAUCAUUCGGACGCAAUGCGGGAUAGGGUUUUGUGGUUGCCUGAACGCAAAAUCUGAGAUUCUCGGGCUAGUUUUUGUUUUGCGCCAACCUUCAGGGCGUUUCAAAAGCGAACUUCAAAUUCGAAGGGAACGCAUGUAUGAGCGAACGCAGAAGGAAUUUUGGACAGGGGUUCGACUCCCCUCACCUCCAUCA
rnacentral:tmRNA from 1 species